rnacentral:lncRNA from 1 species
UCAUACAACAACAACAUUGUUCAUCUUCAUCUAUACAAUUUUUUUUCCUUCUGUUCUCUUUCUCUUCUCCGACUCACCCUCUCUCCGCCGGCCAACCUCACUCGCCGACCACCCUCUCUUCGUUGUUCCCUGUGUCUCUCUCACUCUCUAAACCAGUCACCAUCAUCAGUCAUCACCUUCAUCACCGUCGUCCUCCUCCAUCACCGGCCACCACCACCAUCGUCUUCCUCUAUUGUCGAUACAGAUCUGAGAUCAAGCUGCCACUCUUGCAAAUCUGGUAACAAAUUUUAGAGAGACGAAAAAGAUGAACAGUUUGACAAACAUUAAAAUUAAAAUAAACAAAUUUUCAAAUUAGAAGAAACCAUUGUAUUUCUCUCUCUGGAAACUUACAGUACCAUCUUCUUGUUUUGGUUUCUUUAAUUUCCGGCCAGGUGAACGGACAUGACAGCAGAGAAGGAGAGAGAAAAGAGAAGGGUUUUCUGUCAUUUUUGUAUUAAAAUUAAAAUAACAAUUUUUUAAAUUAAAAGAAACCAUUGGAUUGUUUCAAUGGUCAGGAUUGUUCAACUUUGUGAAACUGAUAUCCCAACAGCAGUAAAUCCAAAUCCAAUUACAUGUACACAUGAUUUUCUUAUCAUCUUCAUGUGAACUUGUUUUCCACCAUUUUCUUUCGAAAAGCUUUUUUUUUUAUUUUAAUCAUUUUUUUUAUAAAAAUGUUUUAUUCUCGCCCUCCCCCACCCUCUCCCUUAUGAUAUUAAUAAUUAUAAAUGUAAAUAUGUAAAAGUACACAUUCGAGACAAAUUUAACACUCUAACAACUUUUCGUAAUAUCAUUAAAUUUUAUUGAAGGUUUCCAUAAUAAGGGAUGAAAGGAAUUUCAUCAGUUGUUUCUAACUAUUUACAUAUACUAUAAAAAUAAAUUUGUUCUCAUCCAAAUAUUUAUAUACGUACGUAGGAGAUAGUCGAAGUGCGUACAUCCUUCAAAUAUAUCUUUGAUAAAUAUUAUUGGAUUUAAUUGAUAUGCACCGACGGUGUAAAAUAAUUUUACACUGUCAAUCAAUACCAACCAUGUUUUCCGCCACAUCACCCAACUUCACCUCACUUUCUUGACAUGACAAAAUGAUUGUUAUUUAUUGGAUGAUGGUGUAAAACUAUUUUACACCGUCAGUGCAUAUCAAUUAAAUUCAAUAUUAUUAUUGUUAGAUACAUCGUUAAAGGUUGUUUUCUUUUUGUGCACCUUAUAAAGAAACAACAUAUCUACCCGUAGAACUACAAUAUGAAUGUUCACCUUCUUUAACAUUAGUCACAUCUUUCAAAAAAAUUAAUACAAAAAUCAUUCUGUUAAUAUUGUUGAGUUGUUAUUGUUGAUUAAUUUGCCUUGAAAGUGAUAUAUCUAUUGAAUGCGGGACUUUACUUCAUAACUCUUUUAUUCUGCGAGUAUUAUAACAAUAGAUCUCUCAAAAUAGUAAUCCAGAGUAAUAAUAAUUCCCUUCUUUGGCUCAAAAUUAAAUUCCCGAAGUCAAGACUCUUGACCUUUUACAACCCCAAGACAUAUCGACGCUUGUGAGAAUCUUUCUCGACAAGACAAACACUAAUAUCCACGAAUCUCGGAGCCUCAACUACAUGUCAUUAUGUUUCCGCUGCGCAACUCUGAUCUAUUGGAUUAGUAACCUGGCCAAAUUUAUAAAUGAGGGUCGCUCCAAAACAUAAGAAAACAUAAAGUCAAGUAGAUAUGAAGUAAAGUCGCGCAUUCAAUAGAUAUAUCACUUAUCAUGUUGAAAGCUCAUAAUUUAUCGAUAAUACAGCAAGUAGAUAUAAAUCACCACCACCGUCAGACACAAUACCCCACCGUUGGGUAUUAAGGUUCAGUACCCCACCGUUGGGUAUUAUUCCAAACCAUACCAAAAAUGUAUGAAUUCCCUAUCAUCGUUGAUUCAACCACACCAUAAAUUACUCACACCGAGUAACUAAUCAAAACGAUAUUUAUUCUAACUCCGGUUUAGAGACAAGAUUCCCCGAUGAUAACCCCAAUCACCAAAUCAAAGGACAUAAUAAAUAAAUCAUAUAGCAUUUACGCACACCAUAGAUAUCACAUCUAAACAUAUGUUAUAAAUAAAAUAAUCAAACAACGGAGGACCCUCUUACCUUAGCAUCAACAACUCUUAAAAUUUCCAUGACACAGUCUUUAUUCCACUACGUAUAUAUACUUGGUGAUAGAACCUAUUACUAAGAUUGAUCUUUGAUUCUCCUCUAUUUUUCAUCUGUCCUUUCUCACGUUCUCUCUACUAGCUCUUCU